GGCGGUGUAGCUCAGGGGUUAGAGCAGAGGAAUCAUAAUCCUUGUGUCGGGAGUUCAAAUCUCUCCACCGCUACCA
rnacentral:tRNA from 3 species